rnacentral:rRNA from 1 species
UGGGGAAUAUUGCACAAUGGGGGAAACCCUGAUGCAGCGACGCCGCGUGGAGGAAGAAGGUCUUCGGAUUGUAAACUCCUGUUGCUGAGGAAGAUAAUGACGGUACUCAACAAGGAAGUGACGGCUAACUACGUGCCAGCAGCCGCGGUAAAACGUAGGUCACAAGCGUUGUCCGGAAUUACUGGGUGUAAAGGGAGCGCAGGCGGGAAGACAAGUUGGAAGUGAAAUCUAUGGGCUCAACCCAUAAACUGCUUUCAAAACUGUUUUUCUUGAGUAGUGCAGAGGUAGGCGGAAUUCCCGGUGUAGCGGUGGAAUGCGUAGAUAUCGGGAGGAACACCAGUGGCGAAGGCGGCCUACUGGGCACCAACUGACGCUGAGGCUCGAAAGUGUGGGUAGCAAACAGGAUUAGAUACCCUGGUAGUCCACACCGUAAACGAUGAUUACUAGGUGUUGGAGGAUUGACCCCUUCAGUGCCGCAGUUAACACAAUAAGUAAUCCACCUGGGGAGUACGACCGCAAGGUUGAAACUCAAAGGAAUUGACGGGGGCCCGCACAAGCAGUGGAGUAUGUGGUUUAAUUCGAAGCAACGCGAAGAACCUUACCAGGUCUUGACAUCCGAUGCAUAACACAGAGAUGUGUGAAAUCCUUCGGGACAUCGAGACAGGUGGUGCAUGGUUGUCGUCAGCUCGUGUCGUGAGAUGUUGGGUUAAGUCCCGCAACGAGCGCAACCCUUAUUGCCAGUUACUACGUUAAGAGGACUCUGGCGAGACUGCCGUUGACAAAACGGAGGAAGGUGGGGAUGACGUCAAAUCAUCAUGCCCUUUAUGACCUGGGCUACACACGUACUACAAUGGCGUUAAACAAAGAGAAGCAAGACCGCGAGGUGGAGCAAAACUCAAAAACAACGUCUCAGUUCAGAUUGCAGGCUGCAACUCGCCUGCAUGAAGUCGGAAUUGCUAGUAAUCGCGGAUCAGCAUGCCGCGGUGAAUACGUUCCC